rnacentral:rRNA from 1 species
AUGAACGCUGGCGGCGUGCCUAAUACAUGCAAGUCGAGCGAACGGACGAGAAGCUUGCUUCUCUGAUGUUAGCGGCGGACGGGUGAGUAACACGUGGAUAACCUACCUAUAAGACUGGGAUAACUUCGGGAAACCGGAGCUAAUACCGGAUAAUAUUUUGAACCGCAUGGUUCAAAAGUGAAAGACGGUCUUGCUGUCACUUAUAGAUGGAUCCGCGCUGCAUUAGCUAGUUGGUAAGGUAACGGCUUACCAAGGCAACGAUGCAUAGCCGACCUGAGAGGGUGAUCGGCCACACUGGAACUGAGACACGGUCCAGACUCCUACGGGAGGCAGCAGUAGGGAAUCUUCCGCAAUGGGCGAAAGCCUGACGGAGCAACGCCGCGUGAGUGAUGAAGGUCUUCGGAUCGUAAAACUCUGUUAUUAGGGAAGAACAUAUGUGUAAGUAACUGUGCACAUCUGGACGGUACCUAAUCAGAAAACCACGGCUAACUACGU